AAUAGAUACCCAGGUAGUCCACGCCGUAAACGUUGGGCGCUAGAUGUGGGGACCUUUCCACGGUUUCCGUGUCGUAGCUAACGCAUUAAGCGCCCCGCCUGGGGAGUACGGCCGCAAGGCUAAAACUCAAAGGAAUUGACGGGGGCCCGCACAAGCGGCGGAGCAUGCGGAUUAAUUCGAUGCAACGCGAAGAACCUUACCAAGGCUUGACAUACACGAGAACGGGCCAGAAAUGGUCAACUCUUUGGACACUCGUGAACAGGUGGUGCAUGGUUGUCGUCAGCUCGUGUCGUGAGAUGUUGGGUUAAGUCCCGCAACGAGCGCAACCCUCGUCGCAUGUUGCCAGCACGUUAUGGUGGGGACUCAUGUGAGACUGCCGGGGUCAACUCGGAGGAAGGUGGGGAUGACGUCAAAUCAUCAUGCCCCUUAUGUCUUGGGCUUCACGCAUGCUACAAUGGCCGGUACAAAGGGCUGCGAUGUCGUAAGGCGGAGCGAAUCCCAAAAAGCCGGUCUCAGUUCGGAUUGAGGUCUGCAACCG
rnacentral:rRNA from 1 species